rnacentral:misc_RNA from 1 species
AAGUCGUAACAAGGUUUCCGUAGGUGAACCUGCGGAAGGAUCAUUACCAAAAUUGUGCGUUCAUUCACACAUUUUGUACCCAAUCGAGUCUGCAGUCAAGAUUGGUGAACAAGUCUUUAACUUCGUAUGGAGAUGAAGCAAACAACCUAGGCCGGUAUAGUUGGUUCGCCCGCUAUAUCAGGGUUGUCAGCCUCGGCUGGCAACUAACGCUGGUCCUCCUUUCGUCUACCUAGACCGUCAGCCCGCUGUAAGCUGUCGCAGUAGUCGGUAUGGAGAGCCUCGGUCAAUUUAUUGACUGAAAUGGCUAGCAACAACUGUGCUUUUGCACAACGAGUUUCUCGUAAACUCUGUGAUUAGAAAGGAACAAACAAAGCAGUACAACUGCAAACGGUGGAUCACUCGGCUC